UUUAAUUUGGCCCUUCUCGCAAAGCAGUGUUGGAGGCUCUUGAGUGAGCCAGAUUCGUUAUGUGCCAGAAUAUUAAGAGCAAAAUAUUUUUCAGAGAGCAACCUCCUUACGUGCAGCUUAAAGAAGGGCAGCUCUUACACCUGGCAGAGCAUUUGGAGUGGUAUUCAGACCCUUCAAGAGAGGUCAUAUAUGAAGAGUAGGAGAUGGGUCUCAAAUAAAUAUAUGGGAGGACUCUUGGGUACCAAGCAGCCCCACUCGGAAAUUCAUGAUGUGGAUAAUAGAGCUUGGAAUGAACGGUUAAUUAAUGAUCUGUUUUGGCCAAUUGAUGCACAACGUAUCCUCAACAUCCCUUUGGCUCUAGGGAUGAUGGGUGAUUUUGUUUCUUGGCAUUUUAAGAUGAGCGGAAAUUUUACAGUGAGGUCGGCCUAUCAUGAAGAAUGGGAACAACAACACGGACGAAAGUUGAGGAUGACAAAUUCGAUAUGA
rnacentral:rRNA from 1 species